rnacentral:rRNA from 1 species
AUACGGAAGGUCCGGGCGUUAUCCGGAUUUAUUGGGUUUAAAGGGAGCGCAGGCGGAGAUGCAAGCGUGACGUCAAAUUUCGGGGCUCAACCCCGUCUCGCGUCGCGAACUGCGUCCCUUGGUUGCGGGAAGGGGAGGCGGAACUCGUGGUGUAGCGGUGCAAUGCAUAGAUAUCACGAAGAACUCCGAUCGCGAAGGCAGCCUUCCGGCCCGUCAACGACGCUCAUGCUCGAAGGUGCGGGUAUCAAACAGGAUUAGAUACCCUGGUAGUCCGCACAGUAAACGAUGGACACCCGCGGUUUGGCCUGUAUGGCUGAGCCGCCAAGCGAAAGCGUUAAGUGUCCCACCUGGGGAGUACGCCGGCAACGGUGAAACUUAAAGGAAUUGACGGGG